UACGUAGGGGGCAAGCGUUGUCCGGAUUUAUUGGGCGUAAAGAGCGUGUAGGCGGUUUGGUAGGUCCGUUGUGAAAACUCGAGGCUCAACCUCGAGACGCCGAUGGAAACCAUCAGACUAGAGUCCGGAAGAGGAGAGUGGAAUUCCUGGUGUAGCGGUGAAAUGCGCAGAUAAUCAGGAAGAACACCCGUGGCUAAGGCGGCUCUCUAGUACGGUACUGACGCUGAGACGCGAAAGCGUGGGGAGCGAACAGG
rnacentral:rRNA from 1 species